rnacentral:tRNA from 1 species
GGUGUUGUAGCUCAAAUGGUAAAGCACUUGCCUAGCACAUAUGAGGCACUGGAUUCAAUUCUCAGCACCA